CUGCCGGAGGCUAUUGCUAUCAGGGUUUGACUAAGCCAUGCGAGUCGAGAGGUGUAAGACCUCGGCAUACUGCUCAGUAACACGUGGAUAAUCUGCCCUCAGGUGAGGAAUAAUCCCGGGAAACUGGGGCUAAUGCCUCAUAGGAGACGGGUGCUGGAAUGCUCUGUCUCCCAAAGGUCCGCCGCCUGAGGAUGAGUCUGCGUCCGAUUAGGUUGUUGUUGGGGUAACGGCCCAACAAGCCAUUGAUCGGUACGGGUUGUGGGAGCAAGAGCCCGGAGAUGGAUUCUGAGACAUGAAUCCAGGCCCUACGGGGCGCAGCAGGCGCGAAAACUUUACAAUGCGAGCAAUCGUGAUAAGGAAACCCUGAGUGCCUGUCAAUGCAGGCUGUUCUGGUGUCUAACACGCACCAGGAGAAAGGGCGGGGCAAGACCGGUGCCAGCCGCCGCGGUAAUACCGGCUGCUCGAGUGAUAGCCGCUUUUACUGGGCUUAAAGCGUUCGUAGCUUGGUUGUCAAGUCUCUGGGGAAAUCUUCUGGCUUAACCAGAAGGCGUCUCAGGGAAACUGGCGACCUAGGAACCGGGAGAGGUGAGACGUACUUCGGGGGUAGGAGUGAAAUCUUGUAAUCCCCGAGGGACGACCGAUGGCGAAGGCAUCUCACCAGAACGGCUUCGACAGUGAGGGACGAAAGCU
rnacentral:rRNA from 1 species